UCCGCGCCGCCCGCCCUCCAUGCUGCCCGCCGCGCCUCCGCGGAACGCGCAGCUUGGCUCGUGCCGGCCGCCGUACCGAUGACAACGCUCCGCGCGGUCCCCAUUGCGUUCGGAGACCAAUGGGGAACAAACUAGAGGUGCUGAGGAGCAGAAGCGCCGUGCUGUCAGUGCUAGCCCGUGACCAGCACUGGCUGAAGGCUGAAGGUGUGUGCAGGGAGGACAGCGGGCUCACAGCUGGGCAGGUCACAAACCCUCUGCAGCCUAAGGGGAGCUCAAGUGCAGUUCUCUGUUUGGACAGGUCCAUACACUCACCUACCCACACACACUGGGAUGUAAAAGGCUCUGAAACCUCUCCACAGCCACCUAGUCAAUAGUAAAUAUUAAAUACU